GACGAACGCUGGCGGCGUGCCUAAUACAUGCAAGUCGAACGAACUCUGGUAUUGAUUGGUGCUUGCAUCAUGAUUUACAUUUGAGUGAGUGGCGAACUGGUGAGUAACACGUGGGAAACCUGCCCAGAAGCGGGGGAUAACACCUGGAAACAGAUGCUAAUACCGCAUAACAACUUGGACCGCAUGGUCGGAGUUUGAAAGAUGGCUUCGGCUAUCACUUUUGGAUGGUCCCGCGGCGUAUUAGCUAGAUGGUGAGGUAACGGCUCACCAUGGCAAUGAUACGUAGCCGACCUGAGAGGGUAAUCGGCCACAUUGGGACUGAGACACGGCCCAAACUCCUACGGGAGGCAGCAGUAGGGAAUCUUCCACAAUGGACGAAAGUCUGAUGGAGCAACGCCGCGUGAGUGAAGAAGGGUUUCGGCUCGUAAAACUCUGUUGUUAAAGAAGAACAUAUCUGAGAGUAACUGUUCAGGUAUUGACGGUAUUUAACCAGAAAGCCACGGCUAACUACGUGCCAGCAGCCGCGGUAAUACGUAGGUGGCAAGCGUUGUCCGGAUUUAUUGGGCGUAAAGCGAGCGCAGGCGGUUUUUUAAGUCUGAUGUGAAAGCCUUCGGCUCAACCGAAGAAGUGCAUCGGAAACUGGGAAACUUGAGUGCAGAAGAGGACAGUGGAACUCCAUGUGUAGCGGUGAAAUGCGUAGAUAUAUGGAAGAACACCAGUGGCGAAGGCGGCUGUCUGGUCUGUAACUGACGCUGAGGCUCGAAAGUAUGGGUAGCAAACAGGAUUAGAUACCCUGGUAGUCCAUACCGUAAACGAUGAAUGCUAAGUGUUGGAGGGUUUCCGCCCUUCAGUGCUGCAGCUAACGCAUUAAGCAUUCCGCCUGGGGAGUACGGCCGCAAGGCUGAAACUCAAAGGAAUUGACGGGGGCCCGCACAAGCGGUGGAGCAUGUGGUUUAAUUCGAAGCUACGCGAAGAACCUUACCAGGUCUUGACAUACUAUGCAAAUCUAAGAGAUUAGAUGUUCCCUUCGGGGACAUGGAUACAGGUGGUGCAUGGUUGUCGUCAGCUCGUGUCGUGAGAUGUUGGGUUAAGUCCCGCAACGAGCGCAACCCUUAUUAUCAGUUGCCAGCAUUAAGUUGGGCACUCUGGUGAGACUGCCGGUGACAAACCGGAGGAAGGUGGGGAUGACGUCAAAUCAUCAUGCCCCUUAUGACCUGGGCUACACACGUGCUACAAUGGAUGGUACAACGAGUUGCGAACUCGCGAGAGUAAGCUAAUCUCUUAAAGCCAUUCUCAGUUCGGAUUGUAGGCUGCAACUCGCCUACAUGAAGUCGGAAUCGCUAGUAAUCGCGGAUCAGCAUGCCGCGGUGAAUACGUUCCCGGGCCUUGUACACACCGCCCGUCACACCAUGAGAGUUUGUAACACCCAAAGUCGGUGGGGUAACCUUUUAGGAACCAGCCGCCUAAGGUGGGACAGAUGAUUAGGGUG
rnacentral:rRNA from 1 species